rnacentral:lncRNA from 1 species
AGUUUAGUUAAGUCGUGGCUAAAAAAUAUAUAUUUUAGAAGAUUUAAAAUUUUUAAUGCACUUUUAAUUUAUUUUUUCUUUUAUGUUAUAAAAUUACAGCGACAAUAACCACAAAAGAAAUAUGUGUUUAUAUAUUUCCACGGCAGCAAUUAUAAUCUUUUAGCUUUAGAGGAGAAAAGAUUAGAAGUCUUCUAAAAAUUUUGAAUAUUCUAAAGUACAAAAUUAGCA